UACGGAGGGGGCUAGCGUUGUUCGGAAUUACUGGGCGUAAAGCGCACGUAGGCGGCCUUGUAAGUUAGAGGUGAAAGCCCGGGGCUCAACCCCGGAAUUGCCUUUAAGACUGCAUCGCUAGAAUCCAGGAGAGGUGAGUGGAAUUCCGAGUGUAGAGGUGAAAUUCGUAGAUAUUCGGAAGAACACCAGUGGCGAAGGCGGCUCACUGGACUGGUAUUGACGCUGAGGAGCGAAAGCAUGGGUAGCAAACAGG
rnacentral:misc_RNA from 1 species